CCGUGCUAGGCGGGGCGACAGCGGUGCCCUGCACUCCAAACCCGCUUUAUGGGAGGCUGAAAUCCUGCCCUCGGAGCGCUCCUUUACGGCUCUGGCGCGCGUGCGCGGCGUUGAUGGACGGACCCGGCGCAACGGAUGGCCUCCGAACCUCGUCAGGUCGGGAACGAAGCAGCGAUAAGGAGUUUCACCCGUGUGCCGCCGCCGCUCUGACCGGAGCAAGCGGCGCGCGUAACACGCGGAGGAACGUCUUCAACGGCAGGUGCACGG
rnacentral:SRP_RNA from 1 species